UACGUAGGUGACAAGCGUUAUCCGGAUUUAUUGGGCGUAAAGCGCACGCAGGCGGCGGAUUAAGUCUGACGUGAAAUCUCUCGGCUUAACCGGGAGCGGUCGUUGGAAACUAAUCGGCUUGAGGCGAUGAGAGGGGUGUGGAAUUCCCGGUGUAGUGGUGGAAUGCGUAGAGAUCGGGAGGAACACCAGUGGCGAAGGCGGCUCACUGGUCCCGACUACGUGACGCUGAGG
rnacentral:rRNA from 1 species